AAUCUUAUAGUUUAAAGAAUAAAAUUUUAAAUUGCAAAUUUAAAGAUAAUUAUAUAUUUAAGAUUU
rnacentral:tRNA from 1 species